UUUGUCUUAGCUUCUGCAGUUCAGUGAAGGGGUGGGAGUGGUAAUAUUGGCUGGGGUGGAGUUUUGGAGUCUUGAAGAGGAGUUCACCUGUUCUGUCCUUCCUGACAAUCAAACUGCUGAUUUGAUCAGCAGGAGAGGAAGAGGAACUAGAGCGACUCUGCAAAUUAUAACCCCUGAGGAAUGGACUGGUCUAAAAUGAUGGCUCACCUACAUGUGCAAGUAUAGCCUGGUGACAUGGUGGCUCCUGACUACAUGUGGUCUGGUGAGUGUCAACUCCCAGUCUACACUAUAGCUUCUUUCAGAUGCUGGCUGUCUGCUUUUAAAGUGUGCUGCAUGUCAGACUUGGUCAUCUCAAAAACAGUUUAGCUAAGGCUCAAACUCUGGCCUCUUGAGAAAAAUCACUGGAUAAAAUUACUUCCACACUUAUUAAACAGCUGGAGGGCCCAAAUGGCCUCUUGUUUAGUGUUUUGUUCUUAGGAUGGGUAUUUAUGUAGCCUGUCCUUCCCUUAAAGUUAAAGGGGAAAAUUAGGGACAUUACCCAUAUAAAUAGCCUCUCUCUCUGUGUUAUUGAUGUAGUUGUUGCUGAGUCAUUAAGGAGAUGACUAGGGUCUCCCCAUACAGGAUCAGGUCCUGUUGACAAUGGUAGCACCUGCCUUGCCUGUUCCAGGCUCUUGAAACAAGAUACUGUGGCAUUUUGAAGCCAAUACCUUGGCUUCUCUCAAUAAGUAACCGAGAUCCUUAGAUCAAUAAGUAACUAACUACCAAACAGGCUAGAGGGCCAAAAUGGCCUCCUGUUGUCUGUAACUGCUCUCUCCUUGCUCUCUCAGGCGGAGAGUGACAUUGAUUUUUAUGACUGGUCUUCCUCAAGAGCUCUGCUGAAGAGGGCAAUACAGGCAAGCGUUCAGCCCCAGUGUGAUUAUCAAAGAUUCACAACAUGAAUAGUCUACCCUCAGUAACUCGUGCACACUCCUUAAAAGCCCAGGGGGUGGAAAGCACUAAGCCUUUGGCUGUUAAAAGUCAAGAGUUGGCACAAAUACAUUUAACAACAUAUUUAGCAUUAGGCCUGCACAGUGCAGUUUUA